CCCUGACUGUGUAAUGCAGACACUGGCCACGACAGGAGAUUAAAAUG
rnacentral:sRNA from 12 species